GGACAGCAGCCGGUAGGAGCCAGGCAGCCAGGGAUGGAGAGCCCGCAGACUUCCUGGUAGCCCCAGGGCUCCGGAGGACAAGACACGAGGUAGCAUGCUGGGGCUUAAGGGGCACAGCCAUUUGGAAUCCCCAGCCUUCUCCAGAGCCCAAUUCUAAACUCCGAUGAAGUUCAAGAUUUCUGCCCCACCCCAGCCCACUUCAUUCAGGCCACUUCCAGAAUCAUCCUUUCUACUCAGCCACUCCACGCCUGGAAAUUGCAUUAGAGGACCCCAGUUCUCUGGGAUUCAAGCUCUUGGCGCUGAUCAGGACCCAUCCCCGUCUCCACCUGACUACACCUGCAAAGACCCCAUCCAGAGAUGGUCAUGUUCACACACCGGGGGUUAGGACUUGAGCAUAUCUUUUCCUGGGACACAAUUCAACCUGCAAAAGGCAUUCAGAAGCCCUCUGUUUGCAGAAUUGGAAGCAAUCGUGCAACUGUUUCUGCCCACACAGAGGAAAACAAGCCUCCGGAAUGUGUAAUCAACACAGUCUGGCCCCUCCUCCGCUGCCGGAAAUAGUGAAAUCCUCCCAGAUCAUCAGUGCUCCUAUAUCCAUGCGUCCCUCUGUGCCCCGUGAUUUGGCUGCAAGGUGGCUAGAGCCCCCGCCCCUUCACCUUGACAUCUGCCCUGUGACAACCAAUGGGAUGUUGGAGGCUAUGACGUAACCAAAGGCUUGCAAAGUGCUCACCUGAUUGGGCUUGCUCUCGCUGGCCUCUGCAGCCGUUGCCCUGAGAAGAACAAGCCUAGAGUGGUGUGCUGGGGCCAGGAGGAGGAGGAGGGGGAGGCAUACAUGGAGCAGGAUCAAACCACCCCAGUCUAGCCCAGCUGAGAUCAGCCUACUCCUAGCUGAUCUAGAAUAAAUGAUUGUUGCUGUAAAUCACUAGGAGUGGAGUGGUUUGGUUAGCAGCAUUUUCUGGCAAUAGAGAAGUGAUAAGCC